rnacentral:rRNA from 1 species
AGAGUUUGUAGUCCUGGCGUCAGGACGAACGCUGGCGGCGUGCCUAACACAUGCAAGUCGAGCGAGUGGAGUUCUUCGGAACAAAGCUAGCGGCGGACGGGUGAGUAACACGUGGGCAACCUGCCUCAUAGAGGGGAAUAGCCUUCCGAAAGGGAGAUUAAUACCGCAUAAGAUUGUAGCUUCGCAUGAAGUAGCAAUUAAAGGAGCAAUCCGCUAUGAGAUGGGCCCGCGGCGCAUUAGCUAGUUGGUGAGGUAACGGGCUCACCAAGGCGACGAUGCGUAGCCGACCUGAGAGGGUGAUCGGCCACAUUGGGACUGAGAUACGGCCCAGACUCCUACGGGAGGCAGCAGUGGGGAAUAUUGCACAAUGGGGGAAACCCUGAUGCAGCAACGCCGCGUGAGUGAUGACGGCCUUCGGGUUGUAAAGCUCUGUCUUCAGGGACGAUAAUGACGGUACCUGAGGAGGAAGCCACGGCUAACUACGUG